UACAGAGGUCCCGAGCGUUGUUCGAAUUCAUUGGGCGUAAAGGGUGCGUAGGCGGUCUUCUAAGUUUGAUGUGAAAAUCCAGGGCUCAACCCUGGACCUGCAGUGGGUACGGGCAGACUAGAGUGCGGUAGGGGAGAUCGGAAUUCCUGGUGUAGCGGUGAAAUGCGCAGAUAUCAGGAGGAACACCGGUGGCGAAGGCGGAUCUCUGGGCCGUAACUGACGCUGAGGAGCGAAAGCAUGGGGAGCGAACAGG
rnacentral:rRNA from 1 species